rnacentral:rRNA from 1 species
GCAGUAGCCGCGGUAAUACGAAGGGGGCUAGCGUUGCUCGGAAUUACUGGGCGUAAAGGGAGCGUAGGCGGACUGUUUAGUCAGAGGUGAAAGCCCAGGGCUCAACCUUGGAAUUGCCUUUGAUACUGGCAGUCUUGAGUACGGAAGAGGUAUGUGGAACUCCGAGUGUAGAGGUGAAAUUCGUAGAUAUUCGGAAGAACACCAGUGGCGAAGGCGACAUACUGGUCCGUUACUGACGCUGAGGCUCGAAAGCGUGGGGAGCAAACAGGAUUAGAUACCCCCGUAGUCCCUGUCUCUUAUAC